rnacentral:misc_RNA from 1 species
GUGUAAGCAUUGGUUUUGGUUUUGUCACACAGUUUCUUUGCAAACUGUUAUGUAAAUCAAUAUUAUCCAUUAAUUUAAAAGGCUUAGUGGCUUGAAGAUCCUGUGAGUUGAGGUUAGAUUUUUUUCAGUGGUGAGAUAACUGUGAUUGAUCCAGGUGAUAAGCGAAUCUGUGGGUAAGAUGAUUCUGAAAAUGAGGAAGAGAGGGGACUCUAGCUUU